UCAAAAAGCCCGAUAGUCUACCUAUUGGUCGAGUUUACUAGUUUGUGGAUUUGUUCUUAUGUCAGCAGCCCUUACAGUUAAGGAUUCUUCAAGUACUUAACAGCAUAAACUGUAUGGAAUCACACUAAUUCCACAUCCCCCACCACCUCCCCAGAAAAAAAUACACUCAGUUCUGUGAUCUCUGUAAAGCAAUCACCUGAAGCUGGCAGAAAUUUUGGCCUAACGUCUUGAUAGAGAGAUAUAGAAGCAGGAGCCCUUACAUUUAUUUGAAAUAGACCAAAAGGAGGUCCUUUCAAAUAUAUAGCCUUUAAUCUGGAGGCAAAUAUAUGUCCAGUUUGUAGCCCUCAUCGCUUCUACAAUGACUAGCGUUGCUGCUAACAACAGACAUCCUCAGCACAGCUGAAAAACCUCUUGGAAAGCACAACACUGCAGAAGGGUCCUGAGGAAGGAUACGACAAUGUUCUGCGAGAUGUGGAAUCUGGUAGACUGCCUGCUUCCAGUGACAUGGGGACCCUGCAGGUGCCUCCUGAAGGCCUGGUGUGCAGCAGAGAGCUGGCUCACAUCCGGGGAGAAGGCAGCUGCUGACUACUGCCAUGUGUGCUUCCCAGGAGCUGUGCCAAACCGUGUCUCCUUACCACAGAGGCAGCCUCAGAGGCCCGCCAAGGCACUAGGUGGCUGCACAGCACGGCGCGGCUGGCAGGCAGGAUGAGGUGGUUCGCCUCAGGAAACAUCUGGGGAGCUGGUGGUCCAACCACUGAUUAUAAGUCACAUUCUGCUUCCUGAUUGAAUUGAUGCUUUAUUUGCUUCAAGUCUUGCAGGUGGCUCUUUUCUUUUGAUGGUGUUUGAGAGAAAAUGGCCAAUCAGCUCUUCUUUCAUCUGCCACCCCUUCAAUAUAGCAUUAGAUAAACGCGGUUGAGAUAGUUGAAUAUCCUCUCUGCAGAGUUCCUCCUAUAUUGUAUGAAAGUAGGCAAGUUUCUCAGGAAUGACAACUCAAUGACCAACGUCACCAUGACAAUCUGUUGUCGUGCAAGUAUUGCAUCUCAUUAAGCAGUGAAUUAAGCAACUGAUGGAAACAAUUAACAGCCUUAAAAUGUAUGAACCAGCAUAUAAACUACUGUAAAAGCAGCAUUGCACCAUUUUUGGAAGAGCAGAACUUCCUCCCUCUCCCUGCUAGUUCCACUUUACAGAAACCUAAGAAAAGACUGGUAAUACCACUAGAGAAAUAAGGGAUCCAUCUACUGAACUUGUUUCCAGAAUCAUUCUUAACAUCAUCUCCACAAAUCAUUCAGAGUCCAAACCCAUACAUGAAACUAGGAUCAGCAGCAGUGCCUGUCCUGGGCACUGCACAUCUUGAGUGGAUACUCAGUUGAGUCUCUUCCCUCACAAGCUAAUCCAAAAUAACAGUGUUUCAAAGGGCCUGGGGGAAGAAUCCCUUUUCAGAUAAUUAAUACAAAGUGUUCAAAAUAUAUAUAUAUAUAUAUAUAUAUAUAUAUAUCCCUUUUCUUUAGAAAUGCCAUCCCAUCCCCCUCCAGAAAGCAUUACUCUGACAUCUGCUACUGCUGCUACACUCUGCCUGUUAUUAUUUGUAUUAGAGCCUCUGCCCAUUCUUUUGCUUCUACAGCUGCUGCUGGUGUUUCCUCUUGGUGUUUCCUGCCUGCCUGGCCUAAAUUCCAUCUGACACCCUCUUGCCCCUCUGGCUUUCUGCCCGGCUGGUUAAGAGCUGGCAUUCAGUUGACUUGCAGUGUUCCUUUCUGCAGUAGAAACAUAAAAUAAUAUUUGGGUUUAAUUUGCUUUUUGAAGAGCUCUUCAAGAUCCUUUCAUGAAGGUAAUACAUUAUUUCUUCAUACUGACCCUUCAGUUUGAUCUUUGAUCUGCGGAGAAUCCUGUACGCGUGUGAGAAUUGUCUAUGACUGUCAGGACUGCGAAGAAACUUGCGGUAAAUUUCCUGCUUCAAAACCAUGUCAAGUUGGGCUGGCUGGGGGAAUUGUUGGAGUAGACAAUUUUGUCCUUUCUCUUCAACAGUAUCGCAGCCAAAAUGACAGCACAAUCUUCCUCUGGCAGCAUCACUGGUAUCUCUGUGGUUUAUAUCCAUUUGCAAGUUGAGUGAGAAACAAAUUGAAGAGUCCAGGCUAUGCCUGCUUGUUCUUUCACCUUGGUCUGUCUCUGUUCCUUAGGGGCUAACAGUUGUCUGGACCUUUCUGUCAACAAAGACAACAGUUACAGACUUGUAAGAGAGAAGAAGCAAGUAGCUGAAAAUGCAUUGUUAUUCCCCUUUGUCACCCUAAAUUUGUCAAAUUUAAGGCAUUUCAACAUAUAGUACUGAGUUUAAUCAUAAUAUGGAUGAGAUGGACAAGAUCUUUGGGUUUUUAGAACUGACAGAUGAACAACAGACUGCUCAAAGGUGAGGGACAUUCAUAAGUGUUCAGAGUUUAUUGCAAAAACUUACCUCCAUUCUGCUGCUCACUAAGAAGUUUUUCCAGCAUUAUUAGAUUACCUAGGAGAGCAUUCUUGUCUUCUGUACUGGAACUGGUCUCUGCCAACUGGCUGUAGGUUGGGAACCUGCUGAGCUAGACUAUUU